GACAUGAAUUUUGUCAACUAUGGUGUAAUCCCUAUUGCAAAGUUAUGACCUCUUUCGUGUGUAAAAUGAAUCUGUAUCUUGGAAAAAGUAAACCCUGCAUUGUAUGAUGUCCAUAGAGAACCAAAUAUCAGCUUAAGUUAAAAGAGUGUUGAUGCACCACCCUUUAAUGCUCCAUCCAACAAUGGAUACACUGAUAACAUACAGAAACAUAUAACAGACA
rnacentral:lncRNA from 1 species